rnacentral:rRNA from 1 species
CGCAUCUGUGCAUGCAGCAUAUCAAUAAGCGGAGGAAAAGAAACUAACAAGGAUUCCCUCAGUAACGGCGAGUGAAGCGGGAAGAGCUCAAAUUUGAAAUCUUGAAAGGUCACCCUUCACGAAUUGUAGUUUAAAGAAGUGUUUUCUGUUACGAUCGUAAUAUAAGUUCUUUGGAAUAGGACAUCACAGAGGGUGAGAAUCCCGUCUAUGAUUGCGAUUUGUAGCUUUGUGAUACACUUUCAAAGAGUCGGGUUGUUUGGGAAUGCAGCCCAAAACGGGAGGUAAAUUUCUUCUAAGGCUAAAUAUUGGCGAGAGACCGAUAGCGAACAAGUACCGUGAGGGAAAGAUGAAAAGAACUUUGAAAAGAGAGUUAAAUAGUACGUGAGAUUGUCAAAAGGGAAGCGUUUAACACCAGUGUUGUUUUCUGAAAAUCAACCUCUGUUAGCUUUAUGCAUGUUUGUUUAGACCUAAUCAGCUAUCUUGCAUGUUCUAUUGUUUGCAGUGGUGCACUUUUCAGUUUACAGGUCAACAUCAGUUUUUUUUACCGUAAAAAAGUUAAAGAAAGGUAGCUCAUGGCUCCGGUCGUGAGUGUUAUAGUCUUUUUCCUAUGCGGUAGGAGAGACUGAGGUCUGCAGUGUAGGCUAUUUGGCUAGAUACUCAGGUGCUAUGUGAUACCAUUUCAUAAACAACUUGUUGAUUAUGUUUUGUCUAUUGCAUACUCGCUUGUACUAUCAUACCUACGCUUAGGAUGUUGACGAUCAGCUGAGCGCG